rnacentral:lncRNA from 1 species
UAGAAGGAGAGGAAGUUCCCUUUUGGGGAGUUAGCCUUCCAGCCCCUGUGCAAAGCGCAGCUGAAAACAAAAGCCGUAGACACCCAUGAAGGAAACACAUGGAAAAGCUUCCUAUGACCGGAGACGCAGCACCGCAUCAGAGCAGCGCGCCCAUCUCAAGAUCCACACCCACGAGAGAAGAGCCGCGCUGCUUCUGUAGAGCUUGCUGGGAAGACCCCCCCAGGACGCCUGGCCAGUAAAGAGUGGCCAGCACUAACCUGCUU